CCUACGGUGGCUGCAGUGGGGAAUAUUGGACAAUGGGCGAAAGCUUGAUCCAGCCAUGCCGCGUGUGUGAAGAAGGCCUUCGGGUUGUAAAGCACUUUCAGUGGGGAAGAAAGCCUUGGGGCUAAUACCCUCGAGGAAGGACAUCACCCACAGAAGAAGCACCGGCUAACUCCGUGCCAGCAGCCGCGGUAAUACGGAGGGUGCGAGCGUUAAUCGGAAUUACUGGGCGUAAAGCGCGCGUAGGCGGUCUGAUAAGCCGGUUGUGAAAGCCCCGGGCUCAACCUGGGAACGGCAUCCGGAACUGUCAGGCUAGAGUGCAGGAGAGGAAGGUAGAAUUCCCGGUGUAGCGGUGAAAUGCGUAGAGAUCGGGAGGAAUACCAGUGGCGAAGGCGGCCUUCUGGACUGACACUGACGCUGAGGUGCGAAAGCGUGGGUAGCAAACAGGAUUAGAUACCCCGGUAGUC
rnacentral:rRNA from 1 species